CCUACGGGCGGCAUCAGUGAGGAAUAUUGGUCAAUGGUCGGGAGACUGAACCAGCCAAGCCGCGUGAGGGAGGAAGGUACAGAGUAUCGUAAACCUCUUUUGUCAGGGAACAAAGGCGGGGACGUGUCCCCGGAUGAGUGUACCUGAAGAAAAAGCAUCGACUAACUCCGUGCCAGCAGCCGCGGUAAUACGGAGGAUGCGAGCGUUAUCCGGAUUUAUUGGGUUUAAAGGGUGCGCAGGCGGUCUGUUAAGUCAGCGGUAAAAGCCCGGGGCUCAACCCCGGCCCGCCGUUGAAACUGGCAGUCUCGAGUUGGAGAGAAGUAUGCGGAAUGCGCGGUGUAGCGGUGAAAUGCAUAGAUAUCGCGCAGAACUCCGAUUGCGAAGGCAGCAUGCCGGCUCCACACUGACGCUGAGGCACGAAAGCGUGGGUAUCGAACAGGAUUAGAUACCCCUGUAGUC
rnacentral:rRNA from 1 species